UGACUGCGCUUUUAGCCGAGGUAUCCUCCACCAAAACCAGAACCGGCGUUCUGCCCGAAAGACGACUGUCCGUAUCCUCCCUGGUUACCGGCAGCUCCCUUUCCAAAUCCAGUCGAGCCCUGGUUGUGUCCGGAGCCGAAGGUCUUGCUGUCAGAGGCCGAGAAUCCCGAGGUGUGGC
rnacentral:lncRNA from 1 species